UCCCAGUGUCUCUGAUGGUAAAGAAUCUGCCUGCAAUGCAGGAGACCUAGGUUUGAUCCCUAGGUUGGGAA
rnacentral:tRNA from 1 species